rnacentral:rRNA from 1 species
AUUGAACGCUGGCGGCAGGCCUAACACAUGCAAGUCGAACGGUAACAGGAAGCAGCUUGCUGCUUUGCUGACGAGUGGCGGACGGGUGAGUAAUGUCUGGGAAACUGCCCGAUGGAGGGGGAUAACUACUGGAAACGGUAGCUAAUACCGCAUAACGUCGCAAGACCAAAGAGGGGGACCUUAGGGCCUCUUGCCAUCGGAUGUGCCCAGAUGGGAUUAGCUAGUAGGCGGGGUAACGGCUCACCUAGGCGACGAUCCCUAGCUGGUCUGAGAGGAUGACCAGCCACACUGGAACUGAGACACGGUCCAGACUCCUACGGGAGGCAGCAGUGGGGAAUAUUGCACAAAGGGCGCAAGCCUGAUGCAGCCAUGCCGCGUGUAUGAAGAAGGCCUUCGGGUUGUAAAGUACUUUCAGCGGGGAGGAAGGGAGUAAAGUUAAUACCUUUGCUCAUUGACGUUACCCGCAGAAGAAGCACCGGCUAACUCCGUG